GACGAACGCUGGCGACGUGCUUAACACAUGCAAGUGGUGCGACGAACCAGGCUUCGGCCUGGGGCAGAGCCGCGAACGGGUGAGUAACACGUGGGCAACCUGCCCUGUUGAUCGGGACAACCCGGGGAAACCCGGGCUAAUACCGAAUGUGGUGCCGGCUCAUGAGAGCCGUCACGAAAGGAAGCUUCGGCCUCCGCGACAGGAUGGCCCGCGGCCCAUUAGCUUGUUGGUGGGGUAAUGGCCUACCAAGGCAACGAUGGGUAGCUGGUCUGAGAGGACGAUCAGCCACACUGGGACUGAGACACGGCCCAGACUCUUACGGGAGGCUGCAGUGGGGAAUCUUGCGCAAUGAGCGACAGCUUGACGCAGCAACGCCGCGUGGGGGAAGAAGGCUUUCGGGUCGUAGACCCCUUUCAGUUAGGACGAAGCUUUAUUGGUUAAUAACCAAUUGGAGUGACGGUACUUUCAGAAGAAGCCCCGGCUAACUACGUGCCAGCCGCCGCCGUAA
rnacentral:rRNA from 1 species